rnacentral:rRNA from 1 species
CGAAGGGGGCUAGCGUUGUUCGGAAUUACUGGGCGUAAAGCGCACGCAGGCGGUUCGAUUAGUCAGAAGUGAAAGCCCCGGGCUCAACCUGGGAACUGUCUUUUGAUACUGUCGAGCUUGAAUCACGGAGAGGGUAGUGGAAUUCCGAGUGUAGAGGUGAAAUUCGUAGAUAUUCGGAAGAACACCAGUGGCGAAGGCGACUACCUGGCCGUCGAUUGACGCUCAUGUGCGAAAGCGUGGGGAGCAAACAGGAUUAGAUACCCUGGUAGUCCACGCCGUAAACGAUGGGUGCUAGUUGUUGGGGUACAUGUACCUCAGUGACGCAGCUAACGCGUUAAGCACCCCGCCUGGGGAGUACGGCCGCAAGGUU